GUCCCGGUAGCUCAGCCGGAUAGAGCGGCGGUUUCCUAAACCGCAGGUCAGGGGUUCAAGUCCCUUCCGGGACGCCA
rnacentral:tRNA from 1 species